CGUAGGUGGCAAGCGUUGUCCGGAAUUAUUGGGCGUAAAGCGCGCGCAGGCGGUCCUUUAAGUCUGAUGUGAAAGCCCACGGCUCAACCGUGGAGGGUCAUUGGAAACUGGGGGACUUGAGUACAGAAGAGAAGAGUGGAAUUCCACGUGUAGCGGUGAAAUGCGUAGAGAUGUGGAGGAACACCAGUGGCGAAGGCGACUCUUUGGUCUGUAACUGACGCUGAGGCGCGAAAGCGUGGGGAGCAAACAGGAUUAGAUACCCUGGUAGUCCACGCCGUAAACGAUGAGUGCUAAGUGUUAGAGGGUUUCCGCCCUUUAGUGCUGCAGCAAACGCAUUAAGCACUCCGCCGUGGGGAGUACGGCCGCAAGGCUG
rnacentral:rRNA from 1 species